rnacentral:rRNA from 1 species
AUUGAACGCUGGCGGCAUGCUUUACACAUGCAAGUCGGACGGCAGCACAGAGAAGCUUGCUUCUUGGGUGGCGAGUGGCGAACGGGUGAGUAAUAUAUCGGAACGUACCGAGUAAUGGGGGAUAACUAAUCGAAAGAUUAGCUAAUACCGCAUAUUCUCUGAGGAGGAAAGCAGGGGACCUUCGGGCCUUGCGUUAUUCGAGCGGCCGAUAUCUGAUUAGCUAGUUGGUGGGGUAAAGGCCUACCAAGGCGACGAUUAGUAGCGGGUCUGAGAGGAUGAUCGGCCACACUGGGACUGAGACACGGCCCAGACUCCUACGGGAGGCAGCAGUGGGGAAUUUUGGACAAUGGGCGCAAGCCUGAUCCAGCCAUGCCGCGUGUCUGAAGAAGGCCUUCGGGUUGUAAAGGACUUUUGUCAGGGAAGAAAAGGCUGUUGCUAAUAUCGACAGCUGAUGACGGUACCUGAAGAAUAAGCACCGGCUAACUACGUG